AUUGAACGCUAGCGGCAUGCCUUAUACAUGCAAGUCGAACGGCGUGGCGAAAGGGUGAGUAAUGGAACGUAACGUGCCCAGUAGUGGGGGAUAACUACGCGAAAGCGUAGCUAAUAACGCAUCCUAUUGGAGCGGCCGAUAUCGGCUUAGAUAGUUGGUGGUGUCACGGCUCACCAAGGCGACGAUCCGUAGCUGGUUUGAGAGGACGACCAGCAACAUGGGGACUGAGACAAGGUCCAGACUCCUACGGGAGGCAGCAGUGGGGAAUUUUGGACAAUGGGGGAAACCCUGAGCCAGCCAUCCCGCGUGUGCGAAGAAGGCCUUCGGGUUGUAAAGCACUUGUGGCAGGAAAGCGGUACCUGCAGAAUAAGCACCGGCUAACUCCGUGCCAGCAGCCGCGGUAAUUC
rnacentral:rRNA from 1 species